UGCCGCUCACGCCCGGUCGUAC
rnacentral:snRNA from 1 species